rnacentral:rRNA from 1 species
CUCCUGAGUAGAGUGGCGCACGGGUGAGUAAUGCAUCGGAACGUGUCCUGUAGCGGGGGAUAACCUAGCGAAAGCUAGGCUAAUACCGCAUACGCCCUGAGGGGGAAAGUGGGGGAUCGUAAGACCUCACACUAUAGGAGGGGCCGAUGCCGGAUUAGCUAGUUGGUGGGGUAAAAGCCCACCAAGGCGACGAUCCGUAGCUGGUCUGAGAGGAUGAUCAGCCACACUGGGACUGAGACACGGCCCAGACUCCUACGGGAGGCAGCAGUGGGGAAUUUUGGACAAUGGGGGCAACCCUGAUCCAGCCAUGCCGCGUGAGUGAAGAAGGCCUUCGGGUUGUAAAGCUCUUUCGGCCGGGACGAAAUCGCACCUAUUAAUACCGGGUGUGGAUGACGGUACCGGAAGAAGAAGGACCGGCUAACUACGUGCCAGCAGCCGCGGUAAUACGUAGGGUCCGAGCGUUAAUCGGAAUUACUGGGCGUAAAGCGUGC